UACGUAGGGGGCAAGCGUUGUCCGGAUUUAUUGGGCGUAAAGAGCGUGUAGGCGGCUAGGUAGGUCCGUUGUGAAAACUCGAGGCUCAACCUCGAGACGCCGAUGGAAACCAUCUAGCUAGAGUCCGGAAGAGGAGAGUGGAAUUCCUGGUGUAGCGGUGAGAUGCGCAGAUAUCAGGAAGAACACCCGUGGCUAAGGCGGCUCUCUAGUACGGUACUGACGCUGAGACGCGAAAGCGUGGGGAGCGAACAGG
rnacentral:rRNA from 1 species